rnacentral:rRNA from 1 species
UGAGGAAUAUUGGACAAUGGGGGCAACCCUGAUCCAGCCAUGCCGCGUGAACGAAGAAGGCCCUAGGGUUGUAAAGUUCUUUCAGGAGUGAAGAUAAUGACGGUAACUCCAGAAGAAGCUCCGGCUAACUCCGUGCCAGCAGCCGCGGUAAUACGGGGGGAGCGAGCGUUAUUCGGAAUCACUGGGCGUAAAGCGUACGUAGGCGGCUUGACAAGUCAGAAGUGAAAUCCCAGGGCUCAACCCUGGAACUGCUUUUGAAACUGUUUCGCUAGAAUUCGGGAGAGGUUAGUGGAAUUUCCAGUGUAGAGGUGAAAUUCGUAGAUAUUGGAAGGAACACCAGUGGCGUAGGC